ACGAGUAUAGUUAAGUGGUAUAACAUCUGCCUUCCAAGAAGAGAUCAUCAGUUCAAGUCUGAUUACUUGUA
rfam:Sphaerobolus stellatus SS14 unplaced genomic scaffold SPHSTscaffold_66, whole genome shotgun sequence.